rnacentral:rRNA from 1 species
CUACGGGAUGCAGCAGUGGGGAAUAUUGCACAAUGGAGGAAACUCUGAUGCAGCAACGCCGCGUGGAGGAUGACGCUUUUCGGAGCGUAAACUCCUUUUAUAUAGGAAGAAGAUGACGGUACUAUAUGAAUAAGCGCCGGCUAACUCCGUGCCAGCAGCCGCGGUAAUACGGAGGGCGCAAGCGUUACUCGGAAUCACUGGGCGUAAAGAGCGUGUAGGCGGAUUAAAAAGUCAGAAGUGAAAUCCUAUAGCUUAACUAUAGAACUGCUUCUGAAACUCGUAAUCUAGAAUAUGGGAGAGGUAGAUGGAAUUUCUGGUGUAGGGGUAAAAUCCGUAGAGAUCAGAAGGAAUACCGAUUGCGAAGGCGAUCUACUAGAACAUUAUUGACGCUGAGACGCGAAAGCGUGGGGAGCAAACAGGAUUAGAUACCCUGGUAGUC